rnacentral:rRNA from 1 species
UACGUAGGGCGCAAGCGUUAUCCGGAAUUAUUGGGCGUAAAGAGCUCGUAGGCGGUUUGUCGCGUCUGCCGUGAAAGUCCGGGGCUCAACUCCGGAUCUGCGGUGGGUACGGGGCAGACUAGAGUGAUGUAGGGGGAGACUGGAAUUCCUGGUGUAGCGGUGAAAUGCGCAGAUAAUCAGGAGGAACACCGAUGGCGAAGGCAGGUCUCUGGGCAUUAACUGACGCUGAGGGGCGAAAAGCAUGGGGAGCGAACAGG